rnacentral:lncRNA from 1 species
UUGUGUUAAACCUCUGGUCCUCUUCAUUUAAAGAUUGCCUUUUGAAAUGUGGAUCAUGUAUUUCUAUCUGUAAAGACAUUUUUAUCUAUAAGAGAUCCUCUGAAACCCAAAAGUUACUUAAAAGGUAAAAAAAUCAUAAUCUCUAAGACAGCAAGCACACCUUUGGCAAAUGGAUUUGGAAAUACAACCUAAGGAGGACCACAUCAUCAAACCAAGAGCUAAUCAUCAACCAAAAUCUAUCCAGUUACUGAGAAAGCUGAACUCCUUUACAAACCUGGUAACAAUGAAGCCCGAGCUAGCAUCUUCUCUUUCUAUCUGU